ACCUGACUGGCUCAGUUGGUAGAGCAUGUAACUCUUGAUCUCAGAGCUGUGAGUUCGAAUUCCAUGUUGGGGA
rnacentral:tRNA from 1 species